GAUGAACGCUAGCGGCAGGCUUAAUACAUGCAAGUCGAGGGGCAGCAUGUCCCGUAGCAAUACGGGAUGAUGGCGACCGGCAAACGGGUGCGGAACACGUACAGAACCUUCCUUUAAGCGGGGAAUAGCCCAGAGAAAUUUGGAUUAAUACCCCAUAGUAUAUUGAAAAGGCAUCUUUUUAAUAUUAAAGAUUUAUCACUUGAAGAUGGCUGUGCGGCUGAUUAGGUAGUUGGCGGGGUAACGGCCCCCCAAGCCUGCGAUCAGUAACUGGUGUGAGAGCCCGACCAGUCACACGGGCACUGAGACACGGGCCCGACUCCUACGGGAGGCAGCCGUAAGGAAUAUUGGUCAAUGGACGCAAGUUUGAACCAGCCAUGCCGCGUGGAGGAUGAAGGUCCUUUGGAUUGUAAACUUUUUUUAUAUGGGACGAAAAAGGGUCUUUUUAGAUCAACUGACGGUACCAUAUGAAUAAGCACCGGCUAACUCCGUG
rnacentral:rRNA from 1 species